rnacentral:rRNA from 1 species
UACGAAGGGGGCUAGCGUUGCUCGGAAUCACUGGGCGUAAAGCGCACGUAGGCGGCUUUUUAAGUCAGGGGUGAAAUCCUGGAGCUCAACUCCAGAACUGCCUUUGAUACUGAGAAGCUUGAGUUCGGGAGAGGUGAGUGGAACUGCGAGUGUAGAGGUGAAAAUUCGUAGAUAUUCGCAAGAACACCAGUGGCGAAGGCGGCUCACUGGCCCGAUACUGACGCUGAGGUGCGAAAGCGUGGGGAGCAAACAGG